rnacentral:tRNA from 1 species
ACCUGGCUGGCUCAGUUGGUAGAGCAUGCAAGUCUUGAUCUCAAGGUUGUGAGUUUGAGUCCCACACUGGGUA